UCAGUACAUUCUGUCCCUAUUUUUCAUAUCAACAAGGCUAUUAUUUUGUACAGUGUUUCCGUGAAGCCUGGAAGAUGGGCUGGAGAGGUUGAUUGGAAGCAAGAUUUAAUCAUGGAUGUUGAGCUGAAAUGAUGGGGUUACUCAGUACCACGGUGGCCAGGACUAGGGUGAAGUCACAGAAAAUCACCCUACCUGGUCUGUUCUUUCCUAUGCUGAUUCCAGGGCCAACCUGAUAUCCCCUGGGGUCCCAGGAUGGCUGUGAGAAGCUCCAGGGAACACCUUGUUCUUGCCCAAGAUCUUCAGCAAGAUCUCUCAUAUGGGUGGUACUAUGACAGAGAAACAAACCUUUCAGCUACCUUCUUGAUCAACCAGCAGUGGCUGCCUCAUGAACUCUUCAAUGACACGACUUUGUUCUAGAA